GCAGUAGCCGCGGGAAUACAGAGGGUGCGAGCGUUAAUCGGAUUUACUGGGCGUAAAGCGUGCGUAGGCGGCUUUUUAAGUCGGAUGUGAAAUCCCUGAGCUUAACUUAGGAAUUGCAUUCGAUACUGGGAAGCUAGAGUAUGGGAGAGGAUGGUAGAAUUCCAGGUGUAGCGGUGAAAUGCGUAGAGAUCUGGAGGAAUACCGAUGGCGAAGGCAGCCAUCUGGCCUAAUACUGACGCUGAGGUACGAAAGCAUGGGGAGCAAACAGGAUUAGAUACCCCAGUAGUCCCUGUCUCUUAUAA
rnacentral:rRNA from 1 species